GACGAACGCUGGCGGCGUGCUUAACACAUGCAAGUCGAACGGAAAGGCCCUGCUUGCAGGGUACUCGAGUGGCGAACGGGUGAGUAACACGUGGGUGAUCUGCCCUGCACUUCGGGAUAAGCCUGGGAAACUGGGUCUAAUACCGGAUAGGAGCCAUUUUUAGUGUGAUGGUUGGAAAGUUUUUUCGGUGUAGGAUGAGCUCGCGGCCUAUCAGCUUGUUGGUGGGGUAAUGGCCUUCCAAGGCGGCGACGGGUAGCCGGCCUGAGAGGGUGGACGGCCACAUUGGGACUGAGAUACGGCCCAGACUCCUACGGGAGGCAGCAGUGGGGAAUAUUGCACAAUGGGCGCAAGCCUGAUGCAGCGACGCCGCGUGGGGGAUGACGGCCUUCGGGUUGUAAACUCCUUUCGCUAGGGACGAAGCUUUUUGUGACGGUACCUAGAUAAGAAGCACCGGCUAACUACGU
rnacentral:rRNA from 1 species